rnacentral:rRNA from 1 species
AUUUUGACUGUGCAAAGGUAGCAUAAUCAUUAGUCUUUUAAUUGGGGACUGGUAUGAAUGGUUUAACGAAGUAUUAACUGUCUCAUUUUAAUAAAUUGAAUUUAACUUUUGAGUCAAAAGGCUUAAAUGAAGUUAGAGGACGAGAAGACCCUAUAGAGCUUUAUAAAUUGAAUAUUAAAUUGGAUUUAGAAGUUUUGUUUAAUUUGAAUAGAAAAUUUAUUUUAUUGGGGUGAUAUGAAGAUUUAAUAAACUCUUUAUAGUAAUUAAACACUAAUGAGUGAAUAAUUGAUCCAUUUUUAGUGAUUAUAAGAUUAAGUUACCUUAGGGAUAACAGCGUAAUGUUUUUUGAGAGUUCUUAUCAACAAAAAAGAUUGCGACCUCGAUGUUGGAUUAAGGAAAAAGUUGGG